rnacentral:rRNA from 1 species
GCGAAGCUCUUGAUCGAAGCCCCAGUAAACGGCGGCCGUAACUAUAACGGUCCUAAGGUAGCGAAAUUCCUUGUCGGGUAAGUUCCGACCUGCACGAAUGGCAUAAUGAUGGCGGCGCUGUCUCCAGCAGAGGCUCAGUGAAAUCGAAAUCGCUGUGAAGAUGCAGUGUACCCGCGGCUAGACGGAAAGACCCCGUGAACCUUUACUGCAGCUUGACACUGAACUUUGACCUUACUUGUGUAGGAUAGGUGGGAGGCUUUGAAGCUGGAACGCUAGUUCCAGUGGAGCCGUCCUUGAAAUACCACCCUGGUAAUGUUGAGGUUCUAACUCUGUCCCGUGAUCCGGGACGAGGACCGUGUCUGGUGGGUAGUUUGACUGGGGCGGUCUCCUCCUAAAGAGUAACGGAGGAGUACGAAGGUGCGCUCAGCGUGGUCGGAAAUCACGCGUAGAGUAUAAAGGCAAAAGCGCGCUUAACUGCGAGACCCACAAGUCGAGCAGGUACGAAAGUAGGUCUUAGUGAUCCGGUGGUUCUGUAUGGAAGGGCCAUCGCUCAACGGAUAAAAGGUACUCUGGGGAUAACAGGCUGAUACCGCCCAAGAGUUCAUAUCGACGGCGGUGUUUGGCACCUCGAUGUCGGCUCAUCUCAUCCUGGGGCUGAAGCAGGUCCCAAGGGUAUGGCUGUUCGCCAUUUAAAGAGGUACGCGAGCUGGGUUUAGAACGUCGUGAGACAGUUCGGUCCCUAUCUACCGUGGGCGCUGGAAAUUUGAGAGGAUCUGCUCCUAGUACGAGAGGACCAGAGUGGACGAACCUCUGGUGUACCGGUUGUGACGCCAGUCGCAUCGCCGGGUAGCUAUGUUCGGAAGGGAUAACCGCUGAAAGCAUCUAAGCGGGAAGCCUACCUCAAGAUAAGAUUUCCCUAGGACUUUAUGUCCUCUAAAGAGCCGUUCGAGACUAGGACGUUGAUAGGUUGGAUGUGGAAGCAUAGUGAUAUGUGAAGCUGACCAAUACUAAUUGCUCGUGAGGCUUGACUAUACAACACCCAAGCAGUUG